rnacentral:rRNA from 1 species
GACGAACGCUGGCGGCGUGCUUAACACAUGCAAGUCGAGCGGUAAGGCCCUUUCGGGGGUACACGAGCGGCGAACGGGUGAGUAACACGUGGGUGACCUGCCUUUAGCUCUGGGAUAAGCCUGGGAAACUGGGUCUAAUACCGGAUAUGACCCUAUGGCGCAUGUUGUGGGGUGGAAAGCCUUGUGCGGCUAGGGAUGGGCCCGCGGCCUAUCAGCUUGUUGGUGGGGUGAUGGCCUACCAAGGCGACGACGGGUAGCCGGCCUGAGAGGGCGACCGGCCACACUGGGACUGAGACACGGCCCAGACUCCUAC